GCUGGGCAUGGCGGUGCAUGCCUGUAAUCCGAGCUACUUGGAGGCUGAGGCAGGAGAAUCGCUUGAACCUGGGAGGCAGAGGUUGCAGUGAGCCCAGAUCUCGCCACUGCACUCCAGCCUGGGUGACAGAAAGAGACUCUGUCUCAA
rnacentral:SRP_RNA from 2 species